rnacentral:sRNA from 1 species
AGCACCUCCUGUUAUAUAUAAUGACUUGUGAAGUUCAUCUCCUGAAUUAUGGAACGUCAUUGACAUUUUUUAUUCAACGAAGAGUUAACCACUCUUAAUAAUAAUGGGUUUUAUAGCGAAAUAGACUUUUUUAUCGCGUAUUCAAUAUUUGCGUUAGUUAUUAUUUUUUUGGAAUGUAAAUUCUCUCUAAACACAGGUGAUAUUUAUGUUGGAAUUGUGGUGUUGAUUCUAUUCUUAUAAUAUAACAAGAAAUGUUGUAACUGAUAGAUAUAUUAAAAGAUUAAAUCGGAGCGGGAAUAAAGCGUGCUAAGCAUCAUCGUGAAUAUGAUUACAGCGCCUGCGAUGGCAUAUAACCGUAUUGCGGCUGGAGCGUCACGUGAGGACUGUGAAGCACAAUGCGAUAUGUUCUGAUUAUAUGGCGAGUUUGCUUAAUGACAUGUUUUUAGCCGAACGGUGUCAAGUUUCUUAAUGUGGUUGUGAGAUUUUCUCUUUAAAUAUCAAAAUGUUGCAUGGGUGAUUUGUUGUUCUAUAGUGGCUAAACACUUUAUGGUUUCUGUUAAAUAUAUAUGCGUGAGAAAAAUUAGCAUUCAAAUCUAUAAAAGUUAGAUGACAUUGUAGAACCGGUUACCUAAAUGAGCGAUAGAGUGCUUCGGUAGUAAAAAUAUCUUUCAGGAAGUAAACACAUCAGGAGCGAUAGCGGUGAAUUAUUCGUGGUUUUGUCGAUUCGGCAUAGUGGCGAUAACUGAAUGCCGGAUCGGUACUGCAGGUGUUUAAACACACCGUAAAUAAUAAGUAGUAUUAAGGAGUUGUU